ACUCGCUUGACGGGGUGCCGGUGAAUCCGGCUGAGAUGGCGCAGGGCCAGGGUGACGAAUCACCGGCCGCCAGCGCCGAUCCCGUGGAACCUGAUCCGGGUGCGGUGUGGCUUCACACCUUGAACCGGCGUAGGGAAUCAGGCGGUGGUGACAG
rnacentral:ncRNA from 2 species